AUUGAACGCUGGCGGCAGGCUUAACACACGCAAGUCGAGCGGUAACAGAGAGAAGCUUGCUUCUCUGCUGACGAGCGGCGGACGGGUGAGUAAUGCCUAGGAAUCUGCCUAGUAGUGGGGGAUAACUUGCCGAAAGGUAAGCUAAUACCGCAUACGUCCUACGGGAGAAAGGAGGGGACCUUCGGGCCUCUCGCUAUUAGAUGAGCCUAGGUCGGAUUAGUUGGUUGGUGAGGUAAUGGCUCACCAAGACCGCGAUCCGUAACUGGUCUGAGAGGAUGAUCAGUCACACUGGAACUGAGACACGGUCCAGACUCCUACGGGAGGCAGCAGUGGGGAAUAUUGGACAAUGGGGGGAACCCUGAUCCAGCCAUGCCGCGUGUGUGAAGAAGGUCUUAGGAUUGUAAAGCACUUUAAGUUGGGAGGAAGAGCAGUUAACUAAUAUUUGACUGUUUUGACGUUACCGACAGAAUAAGCACCGGCUAACUUCGUGCCAGCCGCCGCAGUAA
rnacentral:rRNA from 1 species